CAGUGGUGGCCAGUUUACUCACGGUGUGGAUUUAUUUAUUUAUUAACCAACAAAUUGCCCAUUUUGAGGGAAAGUACACGAUUUAUGUAAAAUGUACCUAUGACAACUAACUUGUUGAGUAGGCUACACAAGUAGUGAAAAUACUAUGGAAGCAACAAGAGUAUCAAGAUUCAAGAACAAGACAUAACCUCAAAUCAGUUAACUUAAGUGUGCUGAUAUUUUGUUUAGUGUGUGUCACUGUUAGUUUAGAGUUGUUAUUUUUGUGACUGGGUAUUGGCAUAACCUACACCGAACAUCUUUUCACGUUUUGAUCCUUGGAGUAUUUGAUAACUCUGCAGCUUUGGUGGAAGUUAUUAUUUGGUAGCAGUGAAUAAUUUGCCUACGGUACCAAUUCUCCCGAGUGACAAAGUGGCUGUUUAGCAGCCUGUAGGCUGGGAAGGAGGAAUAAAUUUUUUCUUUUGCAAUCUGCAUCUGAAGCCAGCUAUCUUGCAGGCAGAACCGGUACGCAAGAACACUAGGAUCGUGGUGUAAUGGAAAUAUAUGUUGUUGCUACUAUAAUCAAGAAUUGGCUUCGCCCAGC